rnacentral:rRNA from 1 species
CGCUUCUUUCCUCCCGAGUGCUUGCACUCAAUUGGAAAGAGGAGUGGCGGACGGGUGAGUAACACGUGGGUAACCUACCCAUCAGAGGGGGAUAACACUUGGAAACAGGUGCUAAUACCGCAUAACAGUUUAUGCCGCAUGGCAUAAGAGUGAAAGGCGCUUUCGGGUGUCGCUGAUGGAUGGACCCGCGGUGCAUUAGCUAGUUGGUGAGGUAACGGCUCACCAAGGCCACGAUGCAUAGCCGACCUGAGAGGGUGAUCGGCCACACUGGGACUGAGACACGGCCCAGACUCCUACGGGAGGCAGCAGUAGGGAAUCUUCGGCAAUGGACGAAAGUCUGACCGAGCAACGCCGCGUGAGUGAAGAAGGUUUUCGGAUCGUAAAACUCUGUUGUUAGAGAAGAACAAGGACGUUAGUAACUGAACGUCCCCUGACGGUAUCUAACCAGAAAGCCACGGCUAACUACGUGCCAGCAGCCGCGGUAAUACGUAGGUGGCAAGCGUUGUCCGGAUUUAUUGGGCGUAAAGCGAGCGCAGGCGGUUCUUAAGUCUGAUGUGAAAGCCCCCGGCUCAACCGGGUGAGGUUCAUUGGAUACUGGGAGACUUGAGUGCAGAUAGCACGGUAGAGUGGAAUUCCAUGUGUACGGUGGGAAUGCGUGAGAUAUAUGGAGGUACACCAGUGGCGAAGGCGGCUCUGCUUGUCUUAACUGACGCUGAGGCUGCGAAAGCGUG